UGGGGAAUAUUGGACAAUGGGCGGAAGCCUGAUCCAGCCAUGCCGCGUGUGUGAAGAAGGCCUUUUGGUUGUAAAGCACUUUAAGCGAGGAGGAGGCUACUUGGAUUAAUACUCUAGGAUGGUGGACGUUACUCGCAGAAUAAGCACCGGCUAACUCUGUGCCAGCAGCCGCGGUAAUACAGAGGGUGCGAGCGUUAAUCGGAUUUACUGGGCGUAAAGCGUGCGUAGGCGGCUUCUUAAGUCGGAUGUGAAAUCCCUGAGCUUAACUUAGGAAUUGCAUUCGAUACUGGGAAGCUAGAGUAUGGGAGAGGAUGGUAGAAUUCCAGGUGUAGCGGUGAAAUGCGUAGAGAUCUGGAGGAAUACCGAUGGCGAAGGCAGCCAUCUGGCCUAAUACUGACGCUGAGGUACGAAAGCAUGGGGAGCAAACAGG
rnacentral:rRNA from 1 species